UUAACUUAAAAUUCACUUUGAAACCCUAAACAUACAGCGCCGUCACUUCAUCUUCACUCUCUAACCCAGUAGCUUCCUUCGGCGUUCAUUGUUCAGCUUUAUCGCACCCAACGGCCUUCAUCGCCAUCAUCGUCAUCUUCAUUACUGCCCUUAUCUCACCCAGCUUUUAUCGCCUUCGUCGCACCCAGCCUUCAUCGUCGCAAUCGUCAUCUUCGUCGUUCAUUACAGUGGUUUUCCUCGAGCUUUCUGUCACUAUCACCGUCAGCAGUCGUUGUCUUCCUUGACGCUGCUUUGAAUGGCUUUUCCUUAAAAGGUUCAGAAAACCCUAACCUCCAUCACGCUGCCAUCUAUCUCACUGUUGCCACCCUUCACGCUCAAGAUCGCAACCAGGUUCGUCCUUGAAUUCCAUUUCUCUUGCUGUUUUGCUUGUCGUCCCUCUAGCCGUUCUGCUCGGAAAGCUGCUCGCCUCUGUCUCGUGGUUCUGCUCGCCUCUUUCUCGUGGUUUUUCUUGCCUCUGUCUCACGGUUCUGCUCGCCAGGUCUCGCAUUUCUGCUCGCCGUGCUGCUCAAAGAUUAUACUUUGCUCAUCCAUGAAACAUUUCCGUGGAUCUAGGAAAGAUACAAUCCUUGGAGAGCUAUAUAAAUCUUACUCUGAGUUAUGCAAAUCAUCACUAAUUCCCCCAGCAGGAAUCUUGGAAUUCUCAAACAUAUAUAGAGUGCUUAAUGACUAGGUAUUUGAAACAAAGCAGUACAGAAGUUGAUUAUGGAUUUCUAGAUGUAGCUUUCUGCCAUUGAUUAUGAAUAUUCCAAUGAAGCAAAGUGGCAAUAAGUAAAAUGAUGAAACAUAUUAUUACUGUAGGGCCUCAUUUAAACUAGUUGAUUAUGGAUUUCUAGAUGUAGCUUUCUGCGUUGAGUAUGAAUAGAUGAAGCAAAGUGGCAAUAAGUAUGAAUAGAUGUAGCUUCCCACUUUCUAGGGUAUGAUGUAUAUCUUAUUGGAGGUUGUGUCUGGGAUCUUAUACUAAAGCAAAUACCUAAGGACUUUGAUAUUAUUACUUCA